rnacentral:lncRNA from 1 species
CUGUGGGGCACAAUGGGGUGCUGUGGGGUCAGCCCCGAUCCCGCACCAUCACGGCUCUAUGGGGCACAGCCGGGCCCCAUCAAUGGCGUCACAGUGAAGUUUGGGAUCGAGAUUUGGGAUCGGGAUUUGGGGUUUGGGGUUGGGAUUUGGGACCGGGAUUUGGGGUUUGGGGUUGGGAUUUGGGACCGGGAUUUGGGGUUGGGAUUUAGGACACCGGUCUGGGGUGUGGGACAAAGGCUGGAGAUUUGAGACCUGGAUUUAGGAUUUGGGACCGGGCUUUGGGAUCUGAUUUUGGGAUCAGCUUUAGGACCAGGACUCAGGAUUAGGAGUGGGCUUUGGGGUCAGGGUUUAGGAUCAGGAUUUAGGAUUUGGGACCAGGAUUGAGGGGGUGGGGUUUAGGGUGAGGAGUUCGGAGUCAGAUUUGGAAUUCGGGUCCAGGCUUUGGGGCCAACGUUUGGGGCCAGGGUUUAGGGUUUGGGAUGAGGAUUUAGGAUUUGGGAACUGGCUUUGGGACCCAGGUUUGGGGUUUGGGAGUGGGAUUUGGGAUUUGGGAUUGGGGUUUGGGACGAGGGUUUAGGGUUUGGAUUUGGGCUUCGGGAGCAGCUUUGGGUGUAGGACCGGGAUUUGGGAGCAGGAUUUGGGAUUUAGGACUGGGAUUUGGGAUUUGGUACGGGGGUUUGAGAUUUGGGAUGAGGGUUUGGGAUUUGGGAGCAGGAUUUGGGAUUUGGGAGCAGGAUUUGGGAUUUGGGAUGAGGAUUUGGGAUUUGGGAGUGGGGUUUUGAAACCAGGGUUUGGGACCAGGAUUUGAAAUUUGGGGCUGGGAUUUGGGACCAGGUUUAGGGACCAGGGUUGGGAUUUGGGAUGAGAAUUUGGGAUUUAGGACUGGGAUUUGGGACCAAGGUUUGGGAUGAGGGUUUAGGGUUUGGAUUCGGGCUUCAGGAGCCGCUUUGGGUCCUAAAUCCCAAUGUUAUGGGGUUUAUGGGAUUUAGGACCGGGACUUGGGGCAGGGGUUGGGAUUUAGGACUGGGAUUUGGGGUCUGGAAUUGGGAUUUGGGACCGGGAUUUGGAGUCCGUGGUUGGGAUUUAGGACCGGGAUUUGGGGCCAGGGGUUGUGCUGUAGGACCGGGAUGUGGGGUCUGUGAUCGCGCUGUAGGACCGGGAUGUGGGGUCCGCAGUCGCGCUGUAGGACCGGGAUGUGGGGUCCGCAGUCGCGCUGUAGGACCGGAUGCGGGGUGUGCGGUUGGACGGCGGCAGUUCGUGGCGCCCCGCGGUGCCGCUCGGAGCCGCGCUGUUGGCGCUGUGCGGCGGCCGCGCAUCUCCGCCCCCGGGCGGCGCGGCGCCAACAGCAACGUUUGUCUGCCGCCCGCCGCUCGGCGCGGCUCGCGGGUCGGCGCUGCUCGUGGGGUCAGCGCUGCUUAUGGGGUCAGCGAUGCUUUUGUGGGGUCAGCGCUGCUUUCAUGGGGUCAGCAAUGCUUAUGGGGUCAGCACUGCUUAUGGGGUCAGCGCUGCUUGUGGGGUCAGCACUGCACAUGGGGUCAGCGAUGCUUAUGGGGUCAGCACUGCUUGUGGGGUCAGCGAUGCUUUUAAGGGGGGUCAGCGAUGCUUGUGGGUUCAGCACUGCUUAUGGGGUCAGCAGUGUUUAUGGGGUCAGCGCUGCACGUGGGGUCAGCAAUGCUUGUGGGGUCAGCAAUGCUUGUGGGGUCAGCA